CAGACUUCAUCACAGCAGGGGCCAUGAGGCUUGAAGCUCUGGGAUCAAUUAAAAUGCCAGGCUUUUCCAGGCUGGUUUCCAGCGCAUCUGUGCAUGAUUCCACAUAAAUUUAGGGAAUUAAAGAUCAGACAAAGAUUACAUUUUGAUUGACUGCUUUUCAAUGCCUACUGACCAGCCUGGCAAAAAUUUAGUCCUAAAUCCCUGGUCCAGAAUAUGUAACCAUAUUUUCCCCUUUAAUCCACCUCUGGGAAAUUCUUAGGGACUCUUUCCACUAGUUUGUCAUCUAACUCCAUAGGCAUUCACAGCAUGAAAAAGAGGGAUAAAAAUCAAUGGACAGCCCAAGGACUCCAUUGGUAUACUUAGAAUCCUUCCAGAUACAACGGGAAUAAAUCAGGAUCCCAGAGAUGGUGUGCCAGUUUGAAAGAUGAUGAAUAUGGUAUACCUGCCGACCCAUCAAUUUCUGCAGAGAGUGGGAGGUUUUAUUUUCUUGAUCCGGUGUCUACCUCAUUUGCCAAAGGGGGCAAGUAGGGUUCUACACAACACUCUAAUGAGAAUACUUUCCACUUAGGUUGCCUUUUGUGAUUUUGCAGCAUGGAAGAAAGCAAGUCUCCUGGUACAAUCUAUAAUCUGGUACACUUCCGAUUUUUUAUCUACAGAACUAUCACCUCAAAAAAUUUCAUUGUGAUGCCAGACAGAUGCAAAUGGAAGGUUUAUCUGUUUGAUUAAUUAUUUUAAUAUCUCAGAGCAUUUGUCUUCUAUUAAAAGUGCAUUAUUGUCUUUGUAGACUUUAC